rnacentral:tRNA from 1 species
UGGCUGACUGGUCACGGUGUUCGCUUUGUAAGCGAAUAGUCCUGGGUUCGAUUCCCAU